rnacentral:rRNA from 1 species
UACAGAGGGUGCAAGCGUUGUUCGGAAUUAUUGGGCGUAAAGGGAGUGUAGGCGGUUCUUUAAGUCUUCUGUGAAAUCUACGGGCUUAGCUUGUAACGUGCAGAGGAAACUGAAGAGCUUGAGUGUCGGAGAGGAUAGGGGAAUUCCCGGUGUAGAGGUGAAAUUCGUAGAGAUCGGGAGGAACACCAGUGGCGAAGGCGCCUAUCUGGCUGACAACUGACGCUGAGACUCGAAAGCAUGGGGAGCAAACAGG